CGUGCCUGACCCAUGCAAGUCGGACGAGUUGGUAGCAAUACCGGCGAGUGGCGGACGGUGAGUAACACGUGAACAAGUCUGCCCUAGACAGGGGGAUAACGUUUGGAAACGGACGCUAAUACCGCGAUAAGACCACGCUCUCGCAUGGGAGUGAGGUCAAAGGAGCAAUCCGGUCUAGGAGGGGUUCGCGUCCCAUUAGCUAGUUGGCGAGGUAACGGCUCACCAAGGCGACGAUGGGUAGCCGAGCUGAGAGGCUGAACGGCCACACUGGAACUGAGAUACGGUCCAGACUCCUUACGGGAGGCAGGCAGGGAGGAAUAUUGGGCAAUGGGGGAAACCCUGAACCCCAGCAACGCCGCGUGAAAGGAUGAAGGCCUUCGGGUUGUAAACUUCUGUGACAGGGGACGAAAGAAAUGACGGUACCUGGGAGGAAGCCACGGCAAACUACGUGCCAGCAGCAGC
rnacentral:rRNA from 1 species